CUCUGCCAUGGCAUCUACUGCUACGCCAGUAUGAUCUACCUGGCAAGAUAAGUUCUUCCCGAUAACCAAGGGUCAUCAAGGUUUAGAAACCUUCUAUGGACACCCUUGCAACAUCACUGCUUGCAACUGCAGCCGAAUGUAGAAUGCGGAGGUAAUUAAGAUAGCAGAAGGAGAGACUGGGCUUACAAACAAAAUGGGAGUCUGCUGGAUAUUAAAGGUGCUUACACAGAGCUCACAGUCUCCUCAAUGCAGCUCAGAAGUUGUGCUGUCCUCAACAGGUGAGGGCUCUCUGCAAGCCGCAGCCGCCGGCAUUCCCACUCACUGCGAGGAUACCACAGCAACAGCAGUGGUGCAACACCAGCCACAGUCAGCAAACCCUGCUUUCCUUUUGCUGUGGUGGGGAAAGGAGGUGUUUUAACUUCAUGUAUUACUUUGGGUUUUAAUCUCAGUGAACCCCUCAACAGUAUGGGCAAGUGCAGGAUGAUAGUUUGAGAGUGAGCUACCUCACUGAACCAGGUCUAGGGUAACACAUCUGCAGGAAUCUCCGGAGCUCAAUCGUGCAGCUCCCAGGCUCUGCAGGAGCCUCCACUACCCCUCACACCACAGAACACUCAGGAUCUGCUACUGAACUGCUGUUUUCACAGCAGGAAAUCUGUUUUCAAGGUGGCACAUUUUCUCAUUUGCUUUGUUUCUUCAGUUCAAAAGCACUAUCUUGAGUUUUGGUAAUUUCUCAGUGAAGAGCAGAACUGACUUGCUGCAAAAAGGAAGAUGCGAGACUCGUCUCCCUGGGCACAUUCCAAAUAUUUCUAUUUUGCCUUUUAAAGUCCACUUCUGUUGUCAGAUACAGCCUCAUUGUUCUAGUAGCAGCCAGAAACACAAGAUGGCCUAGAGUUCAAAGCAGGGGAAAAAUCAACGCACAGAUUUCACUUUAUCACACAUACACAAUGGUUGGUUGAAUUUGUUUCUACCUAUAUAGAAUUUACAGACUAAUUCACAUUUAUUUUUAGAUUGGCUAACUAUUCAUUGAACAUGGAGGAAAUAAUUGAGCAAAGGAGUGAGUAACUUGCAUUAUAGAACUGCACCUAUUAGAUAGGGCAGGUGAAACGCUCACAGCCACUAACAGUGAAGAAGAAUCUGAACACAGAGUUCUUAACUGGGACAAAUAUUCAAGCAAUUCAAACACACAGGCAGUGAAUUAUAAUUACCAUAUUAUUUGUUUACAGCACUUCUGUAUCAAUUACUUUAGGCAAAACUUAGCUUUAACACUAAUGAGCUUUUUCCUAAAAGGAAGCAGCUGCAGGGGACUGCGGUGUCACUAAGGUCUCUUGUUUGCCACUGCUUCCCAGUUCACCAGUGCAUUUCUGCCAAGCUUACCUGCAGUCUUAGGCUGAAGUUGCCAGAGACAGCUUCGGGACCCAUGUGACAGCAAGAGUGUCAGCAUUGUAAAUAAUCCCCAGUGGAUCCUGGCUGUGAAAGGGAAGAAACUCGGUGCUGAUUGAGUAAGAAGGGCUGAGACCUGGAGAGGGGAUGGGGAGGUAUUUUUUGGUGGAAAAAAGGAAGUUUCCUUAAGAUGGUGAUGUACUCUCAAGAACAUAUUUUUAUCACUUUUUGUCUUACAUGCUAUUACCCACUGGCCUAUGAACAACCCCACUGCUGACAUUUAAUCUGAGAGCACAGCAGCACUGCUGCCAUCAGCUGUACCCCAGCAGAAGAAGCAGCAAAUAAGUGCCCAUUCAGUACCUCAGGUCGGCUUGAUAUUUGGAGAAUUCAUUGCCUGUGUUUCCAGAAGAAACGACUCAGAUACAUGUGAUCAAGAGUAUCUGCAUAGAAAUUGGAGGCAGAUGUUUGCUAGCAAGCAAAGCACACACUUUAGAAGCAAUGAGCUCCACUGAAAAGUGCUAACAGGACCUUUACUGCUGAAGCUAUUGGAUUUCUCUUGAGUGUCUUAUUCAUUGGUGUCAUUAACAAGAUAAGUUAUCCUUUCCUAAAUCUCCUCCUCCUGUCCACUUUUAAGGGUCAUGUUUUCGCAUGGCUUCAAUGUUAAUGUGGAGAAAGUUCCCAUGAAACAUAGGGAAAGUCUACAGGCCAUCUUGGAUUAAGACCGCACUACUGGUUAUGGAUUUUCAUGUAUCUUUUCUGUGGAUAUCAGAUAUUACAGACAGCCAAACACUUCCAGUGAGCAAAAAAAACCUUUUGGAGUCGCUUUUACGCCAUGUGAUACUCCUUUCUGUAACCCUGGUUUCUGUCUCUCUGUUUUCAGUUUGGAAACCCAGUAUUGUACCCAGUAUUCAUGUUCCCUGUGGGGACUAUUUCUGAUGACUUUACAGUUUCAUAAUGACAUUGAGCAACAGCUGACAUCUAUCUGCACAGGCUGAAGCCAUUUUUAUUUCCAGACUGUUUUUAUUCUGCUUAGUUAACAAUGAUACAGCAAAUUCCUAAUUCACUACCAAGCGUGAAUGAAAAAGACCAGUCUUUUAAAAAGACUGGGAAAGAAAGAAAAUCCGUUUUCUACAUUCUAAGGGCAUUGCACCUUCU